rnacentral:rRNA from 1 species
GACGAACGCUGGCGGCGUGCUUAACACAUGCAAGUCGAACGGUAAGGCCCUUCGGGGUACACGAGUGGCGAACGGGUGAGUAACACGUGGGUGAUCUGCCCUGCACUUCGGGAUAAGCCUGGGAAACUGGGUCUAAUACCGGAUAGGACCACUGCCUGCAUGGGUGGUGGUGGAAAGCUUUUGCGGUGUGGGAUGGGCCCGCGGCCUAUCAGCUUGUUGGUGGGGUGAUGGCCUACCAAGGCGACGACGGGUAGCCGGCCAGAGAGGGUGACCGGGCGCACUGGGCUGAUGAGACGGCCCGGACUCCUACGGGAUGCAGCCGGGGGGAAUAUUGCACGAUGGGCGCAAGCCUGAUGCAGCGACGCCGCGUGGGGGAUGACGGCCUUCGGGUUGUAAACCUCUUUCAGCGCCGACGAAGCGCAAGUGACGGUAGGUGCAGAAGAAGGACCGGCCAACUACGUGCCAGCCGCCGCCGUAA